rnacentral:lncRNA from 1 species
CGCGGCCUGGUUGGGCUGCCGCGUCCAGAACGCGGCGUUUUUGGUGACGUCGCGCCCGGGAGGGAGUAGUUUGCUCCGGGGCGGCUCGAGCAGCCCGGUUUCACGUGGGCUGUGAACAGAAGCCUGACGUCCAGGCCGCGGCGCCAGACCAAGUCCUUUGGCCUUGCGAGCAGGCUUCGUGAUGGCGGGAGCAAAGCCGUGACUGACUGCGGCCCAUUGAGGCUUACCCCUUAUGGUCUCAGUGGGCCUGGGUCUCCUGACCUAAUGAAAGUGGGAGAAGUAAAAACGAUUGAAAAGAGAGGAAUACGCUGGAAGUUUAAGGAAGCUGAUAGGCAAAAGCAAACAGUAGGGAUCCCAUCCAGGACACCGCAUUAGUUGUCAUGUCUCCUCAGAUGCAAUCACCAACCACUCUGAACCAGUCUGAGCCCCACCACAAGAGCAGCACAUGUGAAGAUGGGCCAAAAUUGUCCAAGAGAUGACCUUUGCCUCAUUUAAACGCUAAAGGCUCUACCCCAGGAGGAGCUUAGGCCUUAU